CAGCAUCACAGCCACGGCGGCCAGUAUCGGGGCAGCUGGGAUCCCUCAGGCGGGCCUGGUCACUAUGGUCAUCGUGCUGACAUCCGUGGGCCUGCCCACUGACGACAUCACGCUCAUCAUCGCGGUGGACUGGUUCCUGGAUCGGCUUCGCACCACAACCAAUGUCUUGGGAGACUCCCUGGGAGCCGGCAUUGUUGAACACUUGUCCCGACAUGAACUGAAGAACCGGGAUGUCGAAAUGGGCAACUCAGUGAUCGAAGAGAAUGAAAUGAAGAAACCAUAUCAGCUGAUUGCCCAGGAAAGCGAAAUCGAGAAACCCAUCGACAGUGAAACCAAGAUGUAGACGGACAUAAAAUGUUUCCUUGAGCACCCGGUGUUUGAAAACCGCUAUGACAUGUCUCCAUCUCGUUACAACUCAUUCUCUCCAGUAAGCCCCCUACCUCCCUUUUCCUCUCUACCCUGAUAGGAUUGGGAAGAAUUCAUCCCAAAACAAGGGAGGAUUUUGCAGUGGCCCAAAUGUGUAGUUCUCAUCCCACGUUUGAAAUGUUUCCAUCAUGUCAUGCUAGUCUUAUCUAUUAAGGUCCUGCGAUCAGAAAUGGUCUUGGAUCUUAAAAGUUGAUGUGGCACACAAUCCUGUAAAUGUGAUCAUUCUUAUAAAUUAAAGCGUCAAAACAAAUAGUAAGCUGAAGACAUAGUUUUAAAUCAACCUUCAAAAUUUACAAAUCCUUCAGGAUACAAUUCAGUUUUAGUAUCAGAACACAGCAACCUGAUAAGCAGUGGGUUCUCAGUUGGACAUUGGAAGAGGUUUUUUUUUUUCCUCCCAUUCUCUUGAGAUUUGUGUCUUUAUUUUACCAGUAGCAGGACAAUAGAAAUACACAACUAGCACAGCCGUGAGGAGGCAUGUAAAGUGAAAUUUCCCUGUGGCUGUGGGCAAGUCUCGUCUCUAGGUCUCAGUGUUUUCAUCUGCAAAAGGAACGAGUUGUCUAGAUGUCCUUAUGGUUGAUUCUAGCCCAGAGGUACUGAGGCGCCAUGGAAGAGCCUGCCCUCUACUCCCCCUUGGGACAUCCCAUGGCAAGUAUCAUUCCACAGAGCAUGGGACUUUCAGCAGAGAGUUGUUGGGAGUGACCAUUUCUAGGGAGGGGCAGGGUGGCUGUGCAGUUUACCAGGUUCCAUGUCCAGAAUGGCAGAGUCAGCAGGGGAUCCAUUCCCUUCACUCUUCCCAAACUAAAGGGAACCACGCUAGGAAGAGUGUCUCCCACCACUCCUCAACUGAUGAUAGACCUUUAGAAAAUACCACGCAAGACUAGCAACUAGCAAGCAUGCUCAUGGUCUUACUAUGGAACAGUAAAGAGCCAGCCAGGAAAGAGUGGAGCAUGGUUGACGUGAUAAAGAGAGGAUUUUAGAAUACCAAGGUUAUACGUCAUCUUUAAGGAAGAGUUUUUUAGAAGGAGAGAUUCUUAAAAGAAAAAAAAAACAACAAACCUGAAACUUUUUCUCUUCAGUUCAAAAAUCAUUCCCUAAGGAAGUCUGCAAAUCAAAAUAUAAGGUCACAUGUAUUUUCAAAUCAAAUCAAUGAGCUCUCUCUACUAGAGGCCCAUGAGCUGCAUGGGUGGUCUCUUAUUUGAAAAAGUUUGUUUUUUUUUUUUUUUUUUUUUUUUUUACUAUAAUCAAAAGUUCUUAGAAUGAGAGAAACAGGAUAUUUCUUUGUGUUGGAAUUCCACUCACCAAAUCUUUCGAAACCUUCAGCUGGAAUGGGAAUUAUUUUGGUUUUGUUUGUGUCCCUGGGAGAAAUGGUAGAAGAAGCAUCAGUAUGAAGCCACAUCAGUGGGGUUCCAAGAGGGGAGAAAAAAAGAGGCCUUAGUUUCAGGUGAGGCAGCUACCAGGUUUAAAGGAGAUUAAUAUUUGUACUCUAAGGAAUAUCCAGUCAAAGAUGCAGAGCGGGAGCUGUCAGACAAUACCAGCUGUGUUUGAAUUACUCAUGUAAAUGGUGAAGAAUGGACUUAAUUAUGCUAACAGACUGAAAAUCUAGACCGCCAUCCUCUGAUAUACAAUUAGAGAUGUUUUUAUAUAGAUCGCCAGCAUUAUGUGUGUACAAAAGUUAACGUUAGGCUGUGGUGGAGUAACCAUUUAAUGUCAAGGCUCUAUUUGGGAAAUACACUACAGAAGUUAAUGUACAAGGCUGUGAUCUUAUGACACCAGUAGAGCAAAACGUAAUCGUGUCAGAUUAAUUCUGUUACACAGUGUGAUUUAUUUUUUUUUUUAUACUAACCAUUUCUUACGGAAAGCAGGUCCUUCGGGAUGACCCUCUCGCCAGCCCAUCACGGGCUCUGCAUAUUACAUGCAGCCGGUGUGGACUGAGAAGCAUUACUUUGUAGAUGUGUUUUCAAUAAAGAAACCAAAUUAGUUUUAC
rnacentral:lncRNA from 1 species